GAGACAAGCCUGUCGUUACAGUAAAAAUGAACAUAAUAACCAUGGGUAUCUGAGUUGCUCGUUGGCGACCAAAUCUGGAAGAGAAAAGAGAAAGAAAGAAACCAAGAAGUAUAGGACAUGUAAUUCACAACUUCCAGUGUGCUUACGAUUCAGCAAAAGGUCCAAACAAGAGUGAACCAAGAAGAAUGCCAGCCAUGAACACAGUUUGUGCAAGUCCGACAACGUUAGCUUUGCCACAGACAAGAUCAAACUGCAACAAAAUAAAAUCAGAUAACAUACAAGCUCAUUAAUGACAUGACAAUAUAUAGUCUUAUGUUUAGUAAAAAAACACUCAUCUAUUCCUACUUACAUCAGUGACUAUGGUGGCUUCAUACACUCUAUUGUUGUACACCCAUCCAUUCUGGCAGUCAGUGGUCUGAUUGAGUCCAUGCUCCCUGAUGAUAUCAAUGUCCCAGUCUACAGGGGUAAACAUCAGGCACCUACUGAAGGUUCCAUCCUCCUGCCGGGGCACGGUCAGAUUCAGCUGUUCCUCACUGCUCAGAUUGGAUCCAGCUCUAAGUAUCCAGUCAGUGUUACAGUGGCGCUCAGGGUCUGACUGGAUGAAAAUCGAACUGGCCAGGUGGAAAGGCAGGACAAGAUUCGGGAAGCAUAGUCCCAAUAGUAUGAGCUUCUGGAAUAAUCCAAAGUCUCCAAUGGACCUCAGGAUCUCGCCAAAAUCAGCCAUGUUCAAGAAUCAAAGAAAUUAUCUGCUUGAGGAGCUUCAGAAAGAAGGUGCUUUGUCAGAGAAGCCUUUAUGCAAGAUAAAUUAAUGUUUAACUCUACUAUCCCACAGUCAUUCAGCAAGCAUGAUUCAGCACGUGUAGAAACAGGAUUUUUAAGAAGAACAGUUAGAAGGCAUAUAACCAUUCUGCACUGUCCGUUCCCUAGUUAUACAACUUCUUUUUUUUAUAUCUAAAUGUUGUGCCCCAAAAUAUUUUAGUUACACUGUAAUCCCGCUUGGGAGUUUCAAAAUGACGCAAAUAAAUCAUUGUACAAUUUACCACA